rnacentral:rRNA from 1 species
CCUCGGAGAGUUUGAUCCUGGCUCAGGACGAACGCUGGCGGCGUGCCUAAUACAUGCAAGUCGAGCGAACAGAAGGGAGCUUGCUCCCGGAUGUUAGCGGCGGACGGGUGAGUAACACGUGGGUAACCUGCCUGUAAGACUGGGAUAACUCCGGGAAACCGGAGCUAAUACCGGAUAGUUCCUUGAACCGCAUGGUUCAAGGAUGAAAGACGGUUUCGGCUGUCACUUACAGAUGGACCCGCGGCGCAUUAGCUAGUUGGUGGGGUAAUGGCUCACCAAGGCGACGAUGCGUAGCCGACCUGAGAGGGUGAUCGGCCACACUGGGACUGAGACACGGCCCAGACUCCUACGGGAGGCAGCAGUAGGGAAUCUUCCGCAAUGGACGAAAGUCUGACGGAGCAACGCCGCGUGAGUGAUGAAGGUUUUCGGAUCGUAAAGCUCUGUUGUUAGGGAAGAACAAGUGCGAGAGUAACUGCUCGCACCUUGACGGUACCUAACCAGAAAGCCACGGCUAACUACGUGCCAGCAGCCGCGGUAAUACGUAGGUGGCAAGCGUUGUCCGGAAUUAUUGGGCGUAAAGGGCUCGCAGGCGGUUUCUUAAGUCUGAUGUGAAAGCCCCCGGCUCAACCGGGGAGGGUCAUUGGAAACUGGGAAACUUGAGUGCAGAAGAGGAGAGUGGAAUUCCACGUGUAGCGGUGAAAUGCGUAGAGAUGUGGAGGAACACCAGUGGCGAAGGCGACUCUCUGGUCUGUAACUGACGCUGAGGAGCGAAAGCGUGGGGAGCGAACAGGAUUAGAUACCCUGGUAGUCCACGCCGUAAACGAUGAGUGCUAAGUGUUAGGGGGUUUCCGCCCCUUAGUGCUGCAGCUAACGCAUUAAGCACUCCGCCUGGGGAGUACGGUCGCAAGACUGAAACUCAAAGGAAUUGACGGGGGCCCGCACAAGCGGUGGAGCAUGUGGUUUAAUUCGAAGCAACGCGAAGAACCUUACCAGGUCUUGACAUCCUCUGACAACCCUAGAGAUAGGGCUUUCCCUUCGGGGACAGAGUGACAGGUGGUGCAUGGUUGUCGUC